CCUACGGGAGGCAGCAGUGAGGAAUAUUGGUCAAUGGUCGCGAGACUGAACCAGCCAAGUAGCGUGAGGGAUGACGGCCCUACGGGUUGUAAACUUCUUUUAUAAAGGAAUAAAGUGAGGCACGUGUGCCUUUUUGUGUGUACUUUAUGAAUAAGGAUCGGCUAACUCCGUGCCAGCAGCCGCGGUAAUACGGAGGAUCCGAGCGUUAUCCGGAUUUAUUGGGUUUAAAGGGAGCGUAGGUGGGUUGUUAAGUCAGUUGUGAAAGUUUGCGGGUCAACCGUAAAAUUGCAAUUGAUACUGGCAGUCUUGAGUACAGUUGAGGUAGGCGGAAUUCGUGGUGUAGCGGUGAAAUGCUUAGAUAUUACGAAGAACUCCGAUUGCGAAGGCAGCUUACUAAACUGCCACUGACAUUGAGGCUCGAAAGUGUGGGUAUCAAACAGGAUUAGAUACCCGAGUAGUC
rnacentral:rRNA from 1 species